CUAAUACAUGCAAGUCGAACGCAAUCUUUUACAAUGAGUGCUUGCACUCAGCGUUUUAAGUGCGAGUGGCGAACGGGUGAGUAACACGUGGGCAAUCUGCCCAAAAGUGGGGGAUAACACUUGGAAACAGGUGCUAAUACCGCAUCAACCGGCUGACCGCAUGGUCGGCCGGGCAAAGACGGCGUCAGCUGUCGCUUUUGGAUGAGCCCGCGGCGUAUUAACUAGUUGGUAAGGUAACGGCUUACCAAGGUGAUGAUACGUAGCCGAACUGAGAGGUUGAUCGGCCACAUUGGGACUGAGACACGGCCCAAACUCCUACGGGAGGCAGCAGUAGGGAAUCUUCCACAAUGGACGCAAGUCUGAUGGAGCAACGCCGCGUGUAUGAAGAAGGUCUUCGGAUCGUAAAAUACUGUUGUCAGAGAAGAACACGUGAUAGAGUAACUGCUAUGGCGCUGACGGUAUCUGACCAGCAAGUCACGGCUAACUACGUGCCAGCAGCCGCGGUAAUACGUAGGUGGCAAGCGUUGUCCGGAUUUAUUGGGCGUAAAGGGAACGCAGGCGGUCUUUUAAGUCUGAUGUGAAAGCCUUCGGCUUAACCGGAGAAGUGCAUUGGAAACUGGAAGACUUGAGUGCAGAAGAGGAGAGUGGAACUCCAUGUGUAGCGGUGAAAUGCGUAGAUAUAUGGAAGAACACCAGUGGCGAAAGCGGCUCUCUGGUCUGUAACUGACGCUGAG
rnacentral:rRNA from 1 species